AGAACCACAGGGCUCCCGCGCGAUGACCUUAUAUACCAUUUUUCUAUACCUAUGGGGCUCUAAUGGGGCUCCUCUAUGAUGCUAGAUGGCACUAGGGUGCGGAGAUCGGCGAGUACCGAGCGGGUUCAAUGGCCUAAGUGUGAACGUCUGCUCCAUCCAGCUGACACGAGGACCCAACACACGGGUAAUCCACCCGCCUCCAUCACACCCCAGCGCCGUUUGCGUAGUACCACUGCUGUAGACGGCAGCAAUAAAUGCUUUCCAACGUAUCAUCGUGCAGUUGGAAAGCGUUUUCGUUACGGUUCUGAGCAUGUGUUAUCACAUUCCGUGAUCUUUUGUUUUGAUAAUAACAACUAUUGUUUUAUGUUUGCAAAAUUACGUAACUACGUUAGCACUACAGAUCGUAUAAGUAUGAGAGAGAUGAAUUUUUUCAUGUUUUAAAAAUAAAUAAAAAAAAGUAUUCUCUCGACGGUAUGUAUUAUCAAGGGAUUUAGAUUAGGUAUUUAAGUAGGUUUUUGUGUUUUUUCAUUCUCUUGGUGUUCGCUCUCGAACCACUGUUACUUUUUUUAUAUGUUCUUUUUUAGAUUGGCGUAUUUAGCGGAUAAGGUAUUUUUUUGUUUUUAUUGUUAGUAACGUUUCAUUGAUUUUGUUUUGUUUUGUAUUUUCAGGUUGUUGAUCUUCGCUUUAUCAUUCGUUAGUUCGUUAUUUUUAUAAUCAUUCCGUUUUGUAGAGAAUUCUGAUAUCUAUGCCUCGGAUGGGCUAGUAAAGGUUAUGCGCCGGAUGCGCAGUUUGUCAAAGAUGCGGGCUAAGGAAAUGCGCCGGAUGCGCAGUUUGCCCCAGAUGCAGGCCUAAUGAUAUGCGCCGGAUGCGCAGUUUGACCCAGAUGCAGGCCUAAUGAUAUGCGCCGGAUGCGCAGUUUGCCCCAGAUGCGGGCCUAAUGAUAUGCGCCGGAUGCGCAGUUUGCCCCAGAUGCGGGCCUAAUGAUAUGCGCCGGAUGCGCAGUUUGUCCCAGAUGCGGGCUAAGGAUAUGCGCCGGAUGCGCGGUUUGCCCCGGAUGGGCUUUAGCCGGAUUAUGCGCCGGAUGCGCAGUUUGUCCCGGAUGGGCUUUUUUAUUUAUACUGUGUAUGUUUUUUUUAAUAAAUUAAUUUAGUAAGGCAAUCUUGGUUAUUCUAUCUAUUCUGGGUUUAUUGUUUGUUUGCUUUUUCUAUUAUUAUUUUCACAGUUUUCAGAUGCUAUGGUCCGACUUCAAGUCCGCCAUACCCUGUCAUUCUUCACGCAGUAGAUAAAGUACAACAGACUGUUUUACGUUCAAAAUUUGAUGGAACUGUCAAGACCUAUUCAGGGGGUUUCAAUCGUUGGAAGCACUGGGAGACUAGCAAUCAUUUAAGUCAUUUUCCUGCUAACCCAUUCUAUGUUGCAGUUUAUCUUCAGUGCUUAUUGGAAUCAGCACAAAGCCCUUCGCCCAACUUAUUCUAUUGACUAGGCGCACUGCCUUGGGGGGCUACCAAAGAUCUCGGAUCAUGCUAUAGUAAAGGCGAUGCUUGAUGCUUCCAAAAGAAUACUGGGAAAGUCUAGAAACAAAAAAGAACCAGUAACUGCAGAGAUGCUGUUGGCGUUGGUCUCAAAGUUUGGGAAAAAUCCUGCUCUGAGUGACUGCAGAUCUCUAGUCUUGUGUUUAAUUGGUUCUGCGGGUUUUCUGCGGUUCAGUGAAAUUUGUAGUAUUAGAUGUUGUGAUGUUAAAUUGUUCCCCUAGUAUGAUUUUAUCUUUAUAGAGUCUUCUAAGACUGAUCAACUACGCGAGGGAGCCUGGGUGACAAUUGCUCGUUCUGAAUUGGUGACAUGUCCGGUAGCUGCCCUGGAGAAAUACAUAGCAUUCGCUGACUUAAAACUGGACGAUGAUCUGCCUUUAUUCCGUGUUUUAGCUGGACCAUCUUGCUCUAACAAGGUGCGCUCUCAAGGAGGCGUUCACUGGGAUUACAGACGUGUCGAAGAUUAGUCGCCACAGCCUUAGAUUUGGUGGAGCUACAGCCGCAGCCAAUAACGGGAUUCCCGAUAGACUUUUAAAACGUCAUGGCAAUGGUCGAGUGAGAAUGCUUAAGACGGCUAUGUUAAAGACAAUCUAGACUUACUUUUAUCUGUUUCCAGAAACUUAGGAAUUUAAUUUGCCUUGCCCAGCUGGCAUAAGAGGAGCGGUCCUUAGGGCUGGGGUUUUCCCCGUGUUUUCAAUGUGUAUAAGUGCUGCGGAGCACAUAGGGGUUUUGUCACCCUUUGGAACUUCCGCACGCCCUCUUUUCAGAUAUUAUCUAGACAAGGUAUCAAUUUUUAAUAUUUAAACACUCACUCACGCAGUAUGUUUGUAAAUACAACUAAUAAAAUUGUGCGGUUCUCAGCCGAGCACACGACAUAUA